rnacentral:tRNA from 1 species
UUUGACCUAAUCUCAGUUGGGGAGAGCGUCGAGACUGAAGGAUCUGAAGGUCCCUGGUUUCGAUCCCGUGGUUCAAAG